AGUGGCGCACGGGUGAGUAAUAUAUAGGUAACGUGCCCUAGAGAGGGGGAUAACAAUUGGAAACGAUUGCUAAUACCCCAUAUGCCUUUAAGUCAUAAGACUGCAAGGGAAAUAUUUAUAGCUCUAGGAUCGGCCUGUACGGUAUCAGUUUGUUGGUGAGGUAAUGGCUCACCAAGACUAUGACGCCUAACUGGUUUGAGAGGAUGAUCAGUCACACUGGAACUGAGACACGGUCCAGACUCCUACGGGAGGCAGCAGUGGGGAAUAUUGCACAAUGGAGGAAACUCUGAUGCAGCAACGCCGCGUGGAGGAUGACACAUUUCGGUGCGUAAACUCCUUUUAUAUAGGAAGAUAAUGACGGUACUAUAUGAAUAAGCACCGGCUAACUCCGUGCCAGCAGCCGCGGUAAUACGGAGGGUGCAAGCGUUACUCGGAAUCACUGGGCGUAAAGAGCGUGUAGGCGGAUAGUUAAGUUUGAAGUGAAAUCCAAUGGCUCAACCAUUGAACUGCUUUGAAAACUGAUUAUCUAGAAUAUGGGAGAGGUAGAUGGAAUUUCUGGUGUAGGGGUAAAAUCCGUAGAGAUCAGAAGGAAUACCGAUUGCGAAGGCGAUCUACUGGAACAUUAUGACGC
rnacentral:rRNA from 1 species